rnacentral:rRNA from 1 species
UAGGGAAUUUUUCACAAUGAGCGAAAGCUUGAUGGAGCAAUGCCGCGUGAACGAUGAAGGUCUUUAAGAUUGUAAAGUUCUUUUAUUUGGGAAGAAUGACUUUAGCAGGUAAUGGCUAGAGUUUGACUGUACCAUUUUGAAUAAGUGACGACUAACUAUGUGCCAGCAGUCGCGGUAAUACAUAGGUCGCAAGCGUUAUCCGGAUUUAUUGGGCGUAAAGCAAGCGCAGGCGGAUUGAAAAGUCUGGUGUUAAAGGCAGCUGCUUAACAGUUGUAUGCAUUGGAAACUAUUAAUCUAGAGUGUGGUAGGGAGUUUUGGAAUUUCAUGUGGAGCGGUGAAAUGCGUAGAUAUAUGAAGGAACACCAGUGGCGAAGGCGAAAACUUAGGCCAUUACUGACGCUUAGGCUUGAAAGUGUGGGGAGCAAAUAGGAUUAGAUACCCCAGUAGUCCACACCGUAACGAUAGAUACUAGCUGUCGGGGCGAUCCCCUCGGUAGUGAAGUUAACACAUUAAGUAUCUCGCCUGGGUAGUACAUUCGCAAGAAUG